rnacentral:rRNA from 1 species
UUAUGUGAUCGUCUCUCGCAUAUCAAUAAGCGGAGGAAAAGAAACUAACAAGGAUUCCCCUAGUAACGGCGAGUGAAGCGGGAAGAUCUCAAAUUUGAAAUCUUAAAGGGUUUCCCUUUACGAAUUGUAGUUUAAGGAAGUGUUUUCUGUUGAGGUUUUGGUAAAAGUUCUUUGGAAUAGGACAUCAUAGAGGGUGAGAAUCCCGUAUUUGACCUUUACUUUCAACUUUGUGAUACACUUUCAAAGAGUCGGAUUGUUUGGGAAUGCAGUCCAAAAUGGGUGGUAAAUUUCAUCUAAAGCUAAAUAUUGGCGAGAGACCGAUAGCGAACAAGUACCGUGAGGGAAAGAUGAAAAGAACUUUGAAAAGAGAGUUAAACAGUACGUGAAAUUGUCAAAAGGGAAGCGUUUGACACCAGUGUUGUUUUUCUGAAAAUCAAUUAAAGAACUGUUUAUGCUAAGUUGUUUAGACUUUAUCAGCUAUACUGUUUAGUUUUGAGCUUUUCUUUAAUGCACUUUUCAGUUAACAAGUCAACAUCAAUUUCUUUUGCUGUAAAAAAGCUUGAGGAAGGUGGCUUGAGAUUCGUCUUAAGUGUUUAUAGCCUCUUGCCUAUGCAGUCGGAGAGAUUGAGGUCUGCAGCGUAGAUCCUUCGGGGCUAAAUGCAUUUGUGCUAAGUUAUAGCAUUUUAUAGACAACUUGUUGACUAUGAUUUGUCUUGUAGCUUACUCGCUUAUGUUAUUUUACCUACGCUUAGGAUGUUGAGUAGCGACAUACGCAC